ACUCGGCGAGGGGGGGAGGUUCUUCCGAACCCUUCCGAGGCUUCAGCCCUCCAACACCCGGUGUGCACUCGCUGUAGGUCCUUGGGGACCUAUGUCUUCUUCCCACUCGCAUGUCUACAGAAUGUCAUCCGUGGCGUCGGGCCACCGUAAACGUGUAAUACAACUUUCAGCGAUGGAUCUCUUGGCUCUCGCAUCGAUGAAGGACGCAGCGAAUCGCGAUAAGUAAUGUGAAUUGCAGAUUUUCCGUGAAUCAUCGAAUCUUUGAACGCACCUUGCGCUCCUCGGUAUUCCGAGGAGCAUGCCUGUUUGAGUGUCAUCGAAACAUCGAAUCGAAGCUUUCGACCUCGGUCGGAGCUCGGUUUGGACCAUGGGAGUCUGCGGGCAACGAGCCCUCCCCGUCGGGGGGGUCGGUCGGCUCUCCUCAAAAGCAUUAGUGGUGGGUGCGAGCCCUUGCAUGGCACGGCCUCCUCGANGUCGUAGUGACCGUCGUGGGCUGGAAGUGCUCGGAUCGUAGUCGUCCCGUNGCCAUCCAACGCUGCGAGCCCGUCUCCGUGGCCGCGUGUCGUCGACGCUUGACCUCAAAUCAGGUAGGACUACCCGCUGAACUUAAGCAUAUCAAUAAGCGGAGGA
rnacentral:rRNA from 1 species